CCACACGAGGCUUCACUGCAAGCUUCAGGAUCUGGCCUCUUGGUCUCCCGAUGACACUCUCUGCCCCAAGGCACGGGGACUUUCCCCGCAGCAUGCGAAGGAGCGAACUCCCUGUGUGUUGGCUGCGCGGCCGUGCUUCCCCUGCCUCCUCUCGGCAAUCGGUCACCGGAUCAAAUCUGCAGC
rnacentral:RNase_MRP_RNA from 1 species